GGCGACGCUCAGCUGAUUCUCUGGUCCAACAGCCGAGCAGCCCUAAUGACGUCAUUACGUGACUCAGGUGUGUUGAAGUAGAAACGUGUCUAAAAGCUGCAGGACUCCAGGUUCCCUUCUGGGACAGAUGGAUAAUAUCAAAGAGUCAAAACCUACCAAAUGUUUUUCAUCUGGUUUCUGGUUGCAGAAGCUGCAAAGCAGCAGCACAGAGGAAGAUUCUCCAGAGAAUCAUUAAAUCUGCCCAGAGGACCAUCUGCUGCUCUCUAGGACUCCACCGGUCCGGUCCGGUCCGGUCCGGUCCGGCUGCCCCAGGACAACCAGGAGCGACUUGUCACAGCUGGACGCCAUCAGCUCCAAAGGAGCGCAUACUGCCAGGAUUUCCAGACUGAGCUGCUCGUCCAGAGAAGAGCUUCUGCUGUGACCUCUCCAUCACCGGCCCGUUCCUCGCUGACCUUUGACACCGACUCUGUGUUUGUGUCUGCAGCCUGAGAGACGGUUGAGUCUGAAACACAGAAGAUCAGCUGAACAGCUCUCCUGUUGUCGCCUGGUUCACACGCUGGCCUCGGCGGCCGGGUUUCUCCGGGUCGGCCGUUUCCUCCUAAAACACGGUGGACUGACCGCCGACCGAAACGCAGCGUCUGAAGAGAAAGUGAUGAAUGAGAGUCGAGUAUUUGAGGAUUUUUCCAGGAAGAAUCUCCCUGCAGACGAAUCUCUGCUCACAUGGCUGGUCGUUAUUCUCAAUUCAAAGACUAUAUAAAGACAAAACAUUUUCAAUUCAGAAAUCCUUUUUGCAUCUAAAUUAUUGAAUAAGUAUCUAAUGGAAUAAUAAUAGAAAUA